CCUACGGGAGGCAGCAGUAGGGAAUAUUGCGCAAUGGAGGCAACUCUGACGCAGCAACGCCGCGUGGGGGAUGAAGGUCUUCGGAUUGUAAACCCCUUUCGGCAGGGAAGAUGGAACGGGUAACCGUUCGGACGGUACCUGCAGAAGCAGCCACGGCUAACUUCGUGCCAGCAGCCGCGGUAAU
rnacentral:rRNA from 1 species